rnacentral:lncRNA from 1 species
GUUUAUGUAUAUAUUGGGCAGGGGGAGAGCAAAUAAAUAACCUGAGCUCUGUGAAGUUGGUUUGUAUGUCAUCGUGUAGCCUUAUUAUUAGCGUGUCUAGCUUCUAGAUGGUGCCGCUUGCUGCUUUAGUCAGGAUUCCUGGGCUUUCACUUAGUGUGGCUGGCGAAGCACUGGCUUUGAAUCGCGAUCUCAGCUUUCAUGUAGCUACUGGUGAAAAGAAAAGCAUCAGCAGGAAUGCUUUUUAAAAGGCUGACAGGAGCCUGUGACUUUGCUGGGUUACUGGCACUGCCGCUGCGCGUUGGAAACCAAGGAACAGCUCUGCUGUACCAAGGCUGUGAUGAUAAUAAACGGGAGGACAGGCCCCCUGUUCUUUCAGAAGGUUAUGCUAAAUCCAGAUUCCACUAAUGUUUCUUUCUGAAAAACACAAUCUCUCUCUAUAUCUAUCUAUCUAUCUAUCUAUCUAUAUAUAUCUAUACAUACUAUGUUUCCUAUAGCUAUACUGCUACUUGAUAGGUUUUAAUUAAAAGGUAAUUUAAGUUUCUAGGGCUGCAUAAAAAAUACCGGACACAGGGACUAAAAAAAAGUGAAUGCAAAAGCUGGCUGAGCCCUCGAGGAGCUUAGGGUGAUAGCUGGCUGGUAUCUGAUUUGUAGCAGCCAGAAGUCCAAUUCUGGCAACUUUUUCAAAGAAGCUGCGAAAGUCUGUCAAGAGGCCACUGUUGAAUGGGUGAGUGUCCUGCCCUGCUUCCCUCUCUCUGCUCUGGGGCACUCUGCCUAUCUCUUCUUAACCAUCCCCCCCUUCCACCUCCCCCAAGUAUUUACAUCCUCUGUCAUAGAAACAGAUCGUGCAAAGUCAUGGAUAGAGAGCAAAAAUCCAGUCUCUUUCCAGACACUGGGAAGUCAGGGGAAUAUGGAAGUGGAGUGUGUUGAAGCAGUGACACUGCCUGGAAACAGAGCAGCCGUGACUGGGGAUUUGAGAUUUUUUGCCUAUUUCUGGCUCUGCAGUCCUGCAUGUAGCACGUGGCUUAUCCUUUCUAGAGCAAGCCAUCGCACACGGGUUAGAAACAACAUACGGUCCCUGGAUACAAUGGGACUUGGGGUAAGUGGAUUAAAUAGGUAUUGAGAUGUUGAACAGUGUUGUGUGCCUGGAUUCCUCAAGUGGAAUGGAUGUUUCUGAACUUGGGUAGGAGCUAGAACGUGCUACAGAGCCUGGGUUGUGGCACCGACGUGGUGCUAGCCAGGGUUUGUCAGAGUAAAGCAAGCUCUGGCCGUGUUUAGCUUUCUAGUGACAAG